GAUCCUGGGCCCAGUCUGUGCUGACUCAGCCGCCCUCCGUGUCUGGGGCCCCGGGACAGAGUGUCACCAUCUCCUGCACUGGAAGCAGCUCCAACAUCGGGAUUGCUGGUGUGAACUGGUACCAGCAGCUCCCAGGAAAGGCCCCCAAACUCCUCAUCUAUGGUAGUACCGGUAGACCCUCGGGGGUCCCCGACCGAUUCUCCGGCUCCAGGUCUGGCAGCUCGGGCACCCUGACCAUCAGUGGGCUCCGGGCUGAGGACGAGGCCGAGUAUCACUGCCAGUCCUAUGACAGCAGCCUUGAUGCUCACGGUGCUGCAGGCCUGUGGGGAAACCCCUGA